rnacentral:lncRNA from 1 species
CUUAGGUCCAUCAAGGACAGAAUAAAGAAAACCACCUCUAGCUAGAGAGCUCUCCUGUCAACCAACCUCUUAAAAAGUAUGCUGUUCAUCAAGAUGGAGCCCCUUUUUCAGAGAUAGCUCCCCAAGAAGGGGAAGCUGCCAAGAUUCACCCUCUCUCCAGUGCCCUCGUUUUAAAACCAAACCAGGAUUUCUGAAUCUCAGCGCUAUCGACAAUUAAGACUGGAUAAUUCUUUGUUGUGUGGGGCUAUCCUGUCACUAGAUGCCAGUAGUACUCCAUUUAUGGACAGUGCCAAAUGUCCUUGGGGAGCACAAUCGUGCCUGGUAGAAAACAAAGGCAAGAGGCCAAAGAACUGAACCCUGAGGUCCACCAACAUUUGAAAGGAAGGCAGAGGAAGAGAAACUAUUAUGAAUGACCAAAUGAGGAGAGUUUCAAGAAAGAACUGUUUGGUAAAGUCAGCUGUUCCAGAGAAGUUACAUAAAAUGGACAGAAAAAAAAAUCUUUGAAUUUGGUGAUGAGGAGGUUCUUGGUGACCUAAGAGAGAAUUCAAGGUCAGAUCCAAGACAGGAAGAGGGGAAGAAAGUGUGAAUUGGAUAAAAGAUUGAAGAAUAGAUUAGACUGGACUUUUUAAUAUCUGAAAAGGGGACUAAUCUAAUCUACAAAGUACAAAGAAGAGCUUUAGAAUCUGCACAAGAUAUCGUCCAGGUGUGGGGGAAACAAAACCUAACAGAGCAACUUUAAAGAAGACGGACUGGAAGAAAACCAGCUUGUUUCCAGCUUGCACCUCAUC